GGAUGGGCCUGCGUCUGAUUAGCUAGUUGGUAAGGUAACGGCUUACCAAGGCGACGAUCAGUAGCCGACCUGAGAGGGUGAACGGCCACAUUGGAACUGAGACACGGUCCAAACUCCUACGGGAGGCAGCAGUGGGGAAUAUUGCACAAUGGGCGAAAGCCUGAUGCAGCAACGCCGCGUGAAGGAAGAAGGCCUUCGGGUCGUAAACUUCUGUCCUUGGGGAAGAAGAACUGACGGUACCCAAGGAGGAAGCCCCGGCUAACUACGUGCCAGCAGCCGCGGUAAUACGUAGGGGGCAAGCGUUAUCCGGAAUUAUUGGGCGUAAAGAGUACGUAGGUGGCAACCUAAGCGCAGGGUUUAAGGCAAUGGCUCAACCAUUGUUCGCCCUGCGAACUGGGAUGCUUGAGUGCAGGAGAGGAAAGCGGAAUUCCUAGUGUAGCGGUGAAAUGCGUAGAUAUUAGGAGGAACACCAGUGGCGAAGGCGGCUUUCUGGACUGUAACUGACACUGAGGUACGAAAGCGUGGGGAGCAAACAGGAUUAGAUACCCUGGUAGUCCACGCCGUAAACGAUGA
rnacentral:rRNA from 1 species